rnacentral:sRNA from 1 species
GCCAAGUGGUUCGAAUUCGUU